GUUUGUUUCCCCUCUUAGCUGGGUCGCAUGGGCUAGCCACUGAUGAGCUGUGUCCCCGUCCAGGCCCGACAGAGGGGCCAGUCGGCGACAGAGGGGCCAGUCGGCGACAGAGGGGCUGAUUGAACACUUCCUUACAGGUUGCCGUAAAGCUGCCAAGACAUGUAGAGCCUCCGCCCUGCAAUGAAAUAUAGCGCAUGACCUACUUUUGCGUGUGUGCGCCUGACUGAGCUUAGUUAAGGGACCACCCUCUGUCCUGCACUUCUAUGGCAAACAACCUCUCUCUCUCUCUCUCUCUCUCUCUCUCUCUCUGUCUCUCUCUCUCUCCCUCUCAUCCUCAAUUUACCAUCAAAGCCAUUACAACACCACCCACACGCCCCACAGGUAUGCAUUUUGUGAAACUUGAUAUGAAGCUUAAGAGAAGUUGGGGGAAGAGAGACUUGAAAAAAUAACUUGUUAAUCAUUAACACCCCCAUAUUUCCUG